rnacentral:rRNA from 1 species
CCUACGGGGGGCAGCAGUGAGGAAUAUUGGUCAAUGGGCGGAAGCCUGAACCAGCCAAGUCGCGUGAGGGAAUAAGGCCCUACGGGUCGUAAACCUCUUUUGCCGGGGAGCAAGGGCGGGGACGUGUCCCGUCCCGGAGAGUACCCGGAGAAAAAGCAUCGGCUAAUUCCGUGCCAGCAGCCGCGGUAAUACGGAGGAUGCGAGCGUUCUCCGGAUUUAUUGGGUUUAAAGGGUGCGUAGUCGGGCUUUUAAGUCAGCGGUAAAAAUUCGGGGCCCAACCCCGUCCGGCCGUUGAAACUGGGGGCCUUGAGUGGGCGAGAAGAAGGCGGAAUGCGUGGUGUAGCGGUGAAAUGCAUAGAUAUCACGCAGAACCCCGAUUGCGAAGGCAGCCUUCCGGCGCCCUACUGACGCUGAGGCACGAAAGUGCGGGGAUCGAACAGGAUUAGAUACCCCGGUAGUC